rnacentral:tRNA from 1 species
GCCCCAGUAGCUCAGUCGGAUAGAGCAACUGCCUUCUAAGCAGUGGGUCGCGGGUUCAAUUCCUGCCUGGGGCA